GCGGGUGUAGUUCAAUGGUAGAACAUCAGCUUCCCAAGCUGAGAGCGUGGGUUCGAUUCCCAUCACCCGCUCCA
rnacentral:tRNA from 4 species